UUGCUUUUCUGUGUUUUCUCUGUCUUUAUGUGUCUUUAUAUUGAUUUCUGCACAUCUGGAGAAACAGUUGUUUCAUUUUUUUAAAUUUACAUUCACUGGAGGAAGCUUUUUUUUUUGUUUUUUGAAGUUAUUACCAUGAUGUUUAUCACAUAGAACCAUUUGGCUUUAAUUUUGGAUUUGUGCAGAGGGAAAGACUGGAUAAGUUUCUUGAGUAUAAACAAAUAUAUACACACACACACACACACACAGAAACAUGUUUCUGUGUGUGUGUGUAUAUAUACACACACAUAUAUAUAUAUAUAUAUAUCACAAAUUUUGGCUUAGGAGUCAUCUUUUCUCUUAGGUUGAUUUUUAAUUCUAACUCCCAGAAAACAAUUAAUUUAUCUUUGUUUUAUUUGUCAUUGAGGCCCAGCAAACCUGAAGUAAAAGGGUGAGAAGGUAGGGUGGGUGCUGGAUAAUGAGAAAUUACUUAAGGGUUAUAAUGUAAAUUAUUUGAAUGAUGGAUACCCUAAAAGCCCUGACUUCGCCACUAUGCAGUCUAUGCAUGUAACUAAAUUACAUUUGUACACAACACUUUUGUAAAAAUAAAUUAAAAAGAACAACUAGA